AAAUCUGUUAGUUGAAGUUUUCAGUGACACGGAUUCUGGACCCACAGCGGGAAUAAUGAUGUUCUGCAGAGUGGCUUGGCAAAGACUUGCGGCUCUGGGACACAAAACACUCAAUCCUUUCAGCAAUGCUGUGUUCCCUACGCGACAGAUGUCCUUUGGUCUACCUGUGUCCGGCACAAACAUAGCUUACAUGGUACUUGGUGGCAGCUCGCUUACUGCUGCUCUUGUUUAUGCUUAUAAGACAAUAAACUCUGACAGUGCAAGAUAUAAUGAAAGAAUUGCUCAACUCGAGGCCAGACCUAAAAGUGAGGAGGGUGAGUAUAAAUUUAGCCUCUGUCUUAACAGCAUGUCUGUUUUUGAGUGUUUGAAAAUGCAGUCAUUAAUCAAAACAAAACUUUUCUAUAAAUUUUGGUGUGUCCCAUUUUACUUGCUUUGCCUACAGCAAUAUGUAUCACGUAACUCAGAACAGAAGCAUUUUCCAAUAAUAGUUGCACAACUUUUUAGUGUUUGCAGACAGUUUAAGUUGUGGCAAUUCAAAGUAAGCAUGAUUGAUGACAGCCAUGGAACUCUGAACUUAGUAAAAGUGCUUUCAUAUUAUUAUCAUCAGAGUGACUUUCACAUGUUAUUAACUUACACUACCAUACAAUUUUUUUUUUUUUAGUUAAAUUGAUCAAAACUGACAGGAAAGACAUUUUUAAUGCUACAAAAGAUUUCUAUUUGAAAUAAAUGCUGUACUUUUUGGACUUUCACCUCAUGGUGAAUUUUUUUUUUUUUAAGCAGCACAACUGUUUUCUAAAUAAAAAAAUGUGCGCACGAUUUACUAAUUCAUUCCCUCGAUGUACUAAAAUGUGCACAAUUUACUAUUUCGUUCCCUCAGUUUGCUAAUUCAUUCUCUUGAUUUAUUAAAUUGCACAAUUUAUAAAUUGAGGGAACGAAAUGGUAAAUUGUGCACACAAUUUAGCCUUAUAUUUUUUUCCUACAUGCCAUGUGCGGGGCUCCGUAAUUGUCAACACUGAUAGUAAUAAGAAAUGUUUAUUGAGCAGCAAAUCAGAAUAUUAGAAUGAUUUCUAAAGGAUCAUGUGACACUGAAGUCUGGAGUAAGGAUGCCAUCAAAGGAAUUAAUUACAUUUUAAGACACAUUAAAACAGACAUUUUACAUUAUAAUAUUUCAAAAAAAAAUUUUUUUUUCAUCAAUGCUUUUGUUGUUUGCUUGGUGAUUGGUCUGCACUGUCUUGAGCAUCCAUGCAGGUUCUUUACAAUCUAAUUCUGAGGCACUGGGCAAGUAUGGUUCACUUUGAGCUCCCAAAAAGUUUCUAAUGCUAACUCUAAGAGCUUGGAUUCUUUGAAGUCUAAUCUUAUUGAAUGGUUUCCACUAUUUAUGUGCACAUCGUCCUGUUCUCAUAAUCUCUUUAAUGUCGUUCUAUUAAUGACAGAUGGAUUUAGCAACACUUGAUUCUAACCCUCUUUAUUUAGUAUAAGAACACAUUUCCUAAGUCUGCUUUAACUUUUUAAUCACACUUGAUCUUGGAUUUUCUUUGGAUCAGGUUGCCAUUUCUUGAAGUCCUGCUCACUGUAUUCCAUUUAGGAGCAGUGGCCGAGGUGGCCUCAGUAGCAGAAGCAGCUGAACUUGCCACAGUUGUUGAGGCCACAGCAGCACAACCCGUCACUGAGGUUGUUAAAGCAGAGGCUGAACAGACCCCAGAACCUGUGGAUGCAACACUGGAAGUUGGGGCAGCAACUACCAUUGUAGAGGCAGUAGCAGCUGAUGCUGAGGAACCUACUGCACCUGUUGUUGAGGAUGUUGCUGCUGAGGCUGCUUCUCCCAGUGCCGAGACAACCGGUGCGGCGUCUUCUGCUGAGGAAGCAGUCUGAAUCCCCAGCAGUCUAGAUAUGUGAUUCUUCCCAACCCACCUCGGAACGCUGCAUUAACUUUUAGAGACUCCCAUUUGUGUGCUCCUUUUAACUGAUUGACUGUGUCCUCUGCACAAAAAAGAAGUGUCCCUUCUGAACUCCACAGGGUGCUAAUCCCACAGUUGAGGAGGAGAAGAGGUUAAGGAAGUCCAAAAAUCAGUGGCAACACUUUUAAAUUCCAAACGGCGGUUUUAUCAUCCCAGUCUGUGUUUUGAUGCUUGAAUAUCUAAUGUAAAUAUGAUUUUUUCUUUUUUUUCUUUUACAUCUCCUCCUUCACAUCUAGUGGAUAUGCCUGCUGUAAUACUUGUUGCUGUGUCCCUGCAGUAUAACAUAUUGUGUCUCAUAGGUGUGCAGGGAGACAUUUUUCUUAAAUAGCUUAAUAUUGACAGUGACUUUUUACAAUAACUGUAAUUUUAACUUGAAAAAGGAAGUUUAUCGAGACAAAUUUUAAAUGAUGGCUUGACAAAACCUUGUUGUGUAGAACUUGACAAAGUUUAAUUUCAGCCUUAUUGACAGAAACAAACAUAGAUCUGUUUGAAAUGUCACAUAUAAACCAUCUUUAGCCGCUUUAGGUAAAUAACUAGAAGAAAAACAAAUUGCAAUAAACAGAUAAAUGAUAUAAAAUAAAUGAAUAGUCAUAAAAUAAAUUAAAAUAAUAUGAUAAUGGACUGUUUUGUACAGCUAAAAUAACUAGAAAUGGCUGACACCGGAAGCAUAAUUGGUUAAAAACAUGACAUGAAUAUUUCCUUUAUAUAUAAUUCUUCUCAUAGGGUAGAAGAACACUUGAUUGACUUUAAGGUGGCCGAGAUUUCGAUUCUGAAUUUUGCCCAAUCCUGCUCAAAUGUGUCUUACAUGUUUUUGGAGGAGCCUUUCUGCACAUGCAUUCCAAAAUCACUGUGGCCUAAUAAGCAACUCUUUCAUCAAAGGAGAUUACUUUUUUAUGAUUUGCCAUAGUUUUUCUACCUGUGAAUUUCCUCUCUCAGUUAUUGGGAUGGAGGACAUCCACUGUGCCUUUUACUUUUUUAUUAUUAUCUUAAAUAUCUCUUAAAAUUUGAACUAUCACGGAAACAUAAUGCCAGUGUUACUUAAAUGUCAUGGCACUGGAGACAUUUGCUCUUAAUCUUGAUGCUGUUUUUCACUGUUGAUGCUGUUUUCUGAGGCUCAACCAACUAAGAACUGAAGUUGAUUGCAGUUUUCAAAACUGACAAAAUAUUUGUAUUCCUUAAAUAAAGUUUUUAAAAUAUGAUUUUUGAGUCUGAAUUCAGUGCUGUAUUCAUUGCAAUUUUUGAUUCCUUUACGUCAUGAACUGUAAAUGAGAUAUAUAAUCAAAUCAUCAAUAUUUCUGUAUAUUGUGUACACUUGUAGAAUAGCACCAUAUUGUGUAUGAUCCUUUGCUUGGUUUUGAUCAUCCGCUUUAAAUGUUUCUACAUUCCUG
ensembl:lncRNA